rnacentral:sRNA from 2 species
ACCAGGCACUAAACUACAUUGUCGAAGGAGUUAGGAGUUAAUAUAUUUGACUUUUUUUGCGAAAUGGCCCCCAGGGAGGGGGUUGAUUUCAUCAAAGUGAAGAUUGAACAUCGUCUUCCUCUGUCUUUCUGAUUGCAUUCGGUCGCCCGAUUGCGCGAAGAGAGGCACGUCGAUACUACGUUGCGCAAAAAGUCUGCGAAAGCUUGUUACACAAAGUCUCCAUCAUCGCGGG